rnacentral:rRNA from 1 species
GAAUAUUGGGCAAUGGGUGAGAGCCUGACCCAGCCAUGCCGCGUGCAGGAAGACGGCCCUCAGGGUUGUAAACUGCUUUUCUACGGGAAGAAAGAGGUUAUGCGUAACCUGUUGACGGUACCGUAGGAAUAAGCACCGGCUAACUCCGUGCCCGCAGCCGCGGUAAUACGUAGGGUGCAAGGGUUGUCCGGAUUUAUUGGGUUUAAAGGGUACGUAGGCGGGUGUCUAAGUCAGUGGUGAAAGCCUACAGCUCAACUGUGGAAUUGCCAUUGAUACUGGAUGUCUUGAGUAUAGUAGAGGUGGGCAGAAUUCAUGGUGUAGCGGUGAAAUGCAUAGAUACCAUGAGGAAUACCGAUAGGGAAGCCAGCUCACUGGACUAUUACUGACGCUAAGGUACGAAAGCGUGGGGAGCGAACAGG